GAUGAACGCUGGCGGUGUGCCUAAUACAUGCAAGUCGAGCGAACAGACGAGGAGCUUGCUCCUCUGACGUUAGCGGCGGACGGGUGAGUAACACGUGGAUAACCUACCUAUAAGACUGGGAUAACUUCGGGAAACCGGAGCUAAUACCGGAUAAUAUAUUGAACCGCAUGGUUCCAUAGUGAAAGACGGUUUUGCUGUCACUUAUAGAUGGAUCCGCGCCGCAUUAGCUAGUUGGUAAGGUAACGGCUUACCAAGGCAACGAUGCGUAGCCGACCUGAGAGGGUGAUCGGCCACACUGGAACUGAGACACGGUCCAGACUCCUACGGGAGGCAGCAGUAGGGAAUCUUCCGCAAUGGGCGAAAGCCUGACGGAGCAACGCCGCGUGAGUGAUGAAGGUCUUCGGAUCGUAAAACUCUGUUAUUAGGGAAGAACAAAUGUGUAAGUAACUAUGCACGUCUUGACGGUACCUAAUCAGAAAGCCACGGCUAACUACGUG
rnacentral:rRNA from 1 species